rnacentral:rRNA from 1 species
UAGUCAUAUGCUUGUCUCAAAGAUUAAGCCAUGCAUGUCUAAGUAUAAACAUCUUUAUACAGUGAAACUGCGUACAGCUCAUUAUAUCAGUUAUUAUUUAUUUGAUGGUACCUUACUACAUGGAUACCCGUAGUAAUUCUAGAGCUAAUACAUGCGUCAAGUCCCGACUUUUUGGAAGGGAUGUAUUUAUUAGAUAAAAAACCAAUGCAGGCAACUGCUCUCUUGGUGAUUCAUAGUAACUUUUCGGAUCGCACGGCUUCACGUCGGCGACAGUUCAUUCAAAUUUCUGCCCUAUCAGCUUUCGACGGUACUGUAGUGGACUACCGUGGCAUUAACGGGUGACGGAGAAUUAGGGUUCGAUUCCGGAGAGGGAGCCUGAGAAACGGCUACCACAUCCAAGGGAGGCAGCAGGCGCGCAAAUUACCCAAUCCUGACACAGGGAGGUAGUGACAAAAAAUAACAAUACCGGGCCUUUUUAGGUCUGGUAAUUGGAAUGAGUACAAUUUAAAUCCCUUAACGAGUAUCCAUU